ensembl:lncRNA
AUGUCUACUAAGAAGCAUCGAUCCAUGGGGUCUGAGGAGUGGGUGAGCCGCCUGAGGGCAUUUGCCUCUUCUGGCACUUGGCCCUCCAGUGCAGGGAACAGGCCAUCUCCAAAACAGGCCAAGUGGCACAACCUCUACCAGAAGGUAAGCUUUGCCCCAACAGUAAACCAAAACUCCAAAGUGAACCAAUUGUGUCUAAGUAAAUCAUUCUUUUCAAUGAAUUACAGAUUGAGAAGUGUCCCAUGAUGCUGCGUGGGCAGACCUUAAUGUUAGGGAUAGCCCAGACAUGUACCUGUGGCUUUCACUCCCAGCAGUCUGUGAGAAGCCCUGCAGCUACCUUUGCCUCCACCUCUGCUGCGCCUGCACGGAGCCCUGGGAGGCCUGCAUUGACGCUGGCGAUGUUUGAGAAAGCGCGGUUUGGUGGGACUUUGUCUGCUGCAGCCAAGCCGAAUGUCAAUCUGACCAGGAGGCCUGUUGAGCGUCCCUCCAGCCCUGCCACUGUCCCGUCUGGGAGAAGCACUCCAUCCGCUACCCCACCUCGAGUGACGCCCCCUUCCAGUCCCAGAUUCUACAGGCCUGUCUCCCCUUUCUCUCUGCCUCCAUCCAGCCCCAUCAUGUCGGCGGCGAGGACCAGCUCUUCUCCUCUGGUUGAAUCAGAUACGAGUCCUGCUCCUCCAGGUCUCCUCCCUGCUCCUCCAGGUCUCCUCCCUGCUCCUCCAGGUCUCCUCCCUGCUCCUCCAGGUCCCCUCCCUGCUCCUCCUGGUCCCCUCCCUGCUCCUCCUGGUCCCCUCCCUGCUCCUCCUCUUGCUGCUCAGUUCUGGCUGCCGGUGGAAAUGAGGAAGACCAUUCCCCAGCAGGACCAGCGCUGGAUUGCAUCCACGCUGUGGAGGAACCAGCGGCUGCGACCGGACGUCCAGCUCUGGUAUGAGCCACCUGUUCCUGCCCUCAUCUACAACCAGGUCCCAUCACCAGACCGCUUUUUUAUGCACCGGCUCCUGGUGUGGAUGCCCUACCACCUGUGGAAGGUGAGGCUGUCCUGCCCCCAGUGCAAGGGGCAGCUCACCGGGGCCGGCAUCCACAAGAGGGCACGGAAGGUCCUGGACGUGGACAGGUACUACCUGAUGGUGACGGAGACCCUCAGGUGCAACUCCUCCAGUUGCAUAUCAAAUUACCUGUCCACGAGCCAGACCGUCCUGGACCAGCUGAGCUUGGCUCUCCGCGGGGAGUUCCGCCUCAUCCUGACCCGCAAGUGAGUUCAGAUCAUGAAAGCAAAUAUCUUUUUUCAGUAAUCAGUAAUCCAGCAAAUAGCAAUAUUUGAUCACACUAAACCCCAUCAAUAUUAGAUCAAAAAUAUUUAUAACAUUUUGCCCAUAGAAAACUCUUUGUCCAGCCAAACUAAAUAAUUUGAUACAAUCAUACCUGUCCACAAAGGUAUGCGUGUGACAUCCGUGUCAUCCGGAUGCUACGGGAGAGGACCCUCGGCAACAGCUCCACACGCCUGGCCAAACAGCUGCGGGAGAACCACGGCGAGGAGUGGCUGCAGCGGUUGGCCCGCUACAUGGAGCUGGCCAAUGACUUUGCCCGCAGGCCCGGUCUCUUCCCUGUGGUCUGUCAGAGCCCCCCCGAGCCUAUCGCUGUCCCGACCAACAGGUGGCUCCUGACGGUGUACGGGAAGGACUUGAUGAGCCGUAUGGGUCACAUCAAGGCCAGCAUCACCUCCACCUUUGGCUCCAUUUUAAAAAUGGAUUCUACAAAGAAGGUAAAAAGGACAUCAGUAAUAAUGCAUCAACAAUAUAUGAAAUGGGUUUUCUCAUAACACCAUAUCCCAGCUUGGGAGCCAUUGAAGUUAUAGUCACA